UAAUCUCUCCUUCUCAAAACACCACUACACCUUAAAAAAAAAAGAACUAACUAAACCCAUUUUCUAUUGUUUGUCUAGAAAAAUCGAAUUCUCAUUUUGUGGUGCAAUUUAUCGAGUCGUUUCCUCUUUCUCCAUCCACUCGUUUCCUCUUCUCUCUCUCACACAGAAAAACAACCAUCAUCUCUAACCAGAAAAAACCCUAAAUUUCAUUUCACCUAACCCUAAUUUCGAUAUUGAUUGGAAAUUCCUUGCAGAUCUUUGAAAUUGAAUCCAUGGGUUGAAGUAAUUUGUUGUUUUAAUCAAAGGGUUUGAAUUUUUCUAUAAGAAAUUGAUUGAUGGAGUGGGAUAGUGAUUCAGAAGGUAUAAGUGGAGAUGAAGAAGUUGGGUUUUUAUUAAACGAUGGAGGUCCACUUUCAUUUACAAUCGGUAGUUUACUUCAAUCUUCACCCUGUGGUCUUGUUGUUACUGAUUCAUUAGAACCUGAUCAUCCUAUUAUUUAUGUUAAUGCCGGUUUUGAAAUGGUUACUGGUUAUCGAGCUGAAGAAGUUCUGGGCCGAAAUUGCCGUUUCUUGCAGUGCAGGGGGCCGUUUGCGAAAAGGAGGCAUCCUUUGGUGGAUUCCACUGUCGUCACAGAAAUAAGGAGAUGCCUCGAGGAUGGGGUUGAGUUCCACGGGGACUUGUUAAAUUUUAGGAAAGAUGGUUCUCCACUCAUGAAUAGAUUAAGGCUGACUCCCAUAUACGGGGAUGAUGAAAUAAUCACUCAUGUCAUUGGCAUCCAGUUCUUCACAGAAACGAAUCUUGAUUUGGGCCCGCUGCCUGGUUAUUCUAUGAAGGAGUCAGUGAGAUCAAAUGAUCGUUUCCGCUCUGAUCUUUCCUCAUAUAGGCCAGGUCCAUAUGGACAUAAUAAUAUUUGUUGUGAGCUUCGUGGUAUGUUGCAGUUGAGUGAUGAGGUCUUGUCUCACAAAAUACUCUCAAAGCUGACACCUAGAGAUAUUGCAUCUGUCGGUUCUGUAUGUAAACGGCUCUAUCAAAUAACAAAAAACGAAGACCUGUGGAGAAUGGUUUGCCAAAAUGCAUGGGGUAGUGAAACUACUCGUGUACUAGAAGCAGUGCCGGGAGCAAAAAGGCUAGGGUGGGGUCGACUGGCUAGGGAAUUAACUACCCUGGAAGCGGCAGCAUGGAGAAAAUUGACUGUUGGAGGUGCUGUCGAGCCCUCACGUUGCAAUUUUAGUGCUUGUGCCGUCGGGAAUAGAGUUGUUCUUUUUGGCGGGGAAGGGGUAAACAUGCAACCAAUGAAUGAUACAUUUGUACUGGACUUGAAUGCUAGUCAACCGGAAUGGAGACAUGUCAAAGUUAAUUCCCCGCCUCCCGGCAGGUGGGGCCACACACUUUCUUGCUUGAAUGAGUCAUCUUUGGUUGUCUUCGGAGGCUGUGGAAGGCAGGGCUUACUAAAUGAUGUUUUUGUGUUGGACUUGGAUGCAAAAGAUCCUUCGUGGCGUGAAAUCUCUGGAUUAACUCCACCCCUUGCAAGAUCAUGGCACAGCUCGUGCACCCUGGAUGGCACUAAGCUGGUUGUUUCGGGUGGUUGUGCUGAUUCCGGUGUGCUUCUCAGUGACACCUUCUUGCUGGAUUUCUCAAUCAUGGAAAGGCCAGUGUGGAGGGAGAUACCUGUAGCAUGGACCCCUCCUUCAAGAUUGGGUCACACGCUUUCUGUCUAUGGUGGACGUAAGAUAUUGAUGUUUGGUGGCCUGGCCAAGAGUGGACCCCUUCGACUGCGCUCAAGUGACGUGUUCACAAUGGAUCUUAGUGAAGAUGAACCAUGUUGGAGAUGUGUAACUGGCAGUGGGAUGCCAGGGGCUGGAAAUCCAGCAGGUAUAGCUCCUCCUCCUCGGCUUGAUCAUGUUGCAGUCAGCCUCCCCGGUGGUAGAAUAUUGAUAUUUGGUGGGUCUGUUGCUGGUCUUCAUUCUGCAUCCCAGCUAUACCUCCUGGACCCAAGCGAUGAGAAGCCAACCUGGAGGAUUCUGAACGUACCUGGGAGACCUCCUAGAUUUGCUUGGGGCCAUAGUACAUGUGUUGUUGGAGGGACAAGGGCAAUUGUCCUUGGAGGGCAAACUGGUGAAGAGUGGAUGCUUAGUGAUCUACACGAGCUAUCUUUGGCUAGCUCCUUCAUGUGAUUCAGAAGUAUAGCGGUUUGCGGUUGGACUAUAAUCUGGUAGUUGGGGGAAUCUGAGUGUAUAUUUGUGACUCGUGAGGGAAAACCAAAAAAGUAGUUUCUAUUAUUAUGCACUAAACAGCAGGUCAUGGCUAGGAGUACGUGGACAGAUUGGUGGUUGAGGUGUGCUUGAGCUAGUUGACUCUUUUAUCUAAACAGCUGAAUCCCAUAGCUAACUUUGUGUGAAGGCCGAGUGAAGGUCAAGAUUAAGUGAGUUCUAAUGUGAAGCAUAGGAACACACUCUAUGCAGGAGGAAAGAGACCAGGAGACCAGGCUUGCUACUUAUGUGUUAUUAUUCGGCUUUGAUGGUGGGUUGCUUGAUUUAGAGCUGCUGCAGUUAGAUCUGAAUUUUGGUCCAGAGGUUCUAUUUUUGAUAGGUUAUACACAAUUACUUAAAAAAAAUUCACUCGAAAAAAAAUAAGCAAAUUUCUGGUGUGAACUUUGAAGUGGUAAAUGAUUUUGAAAAAAUCUUAAUUGCGCUGAACUAUUGUCUGUCAUGUGGUGGCAAGCUGGGUUUUUCAGUUCAAUGUUGGACAUUGUUUUUUCGUCGAUGUUCAAGAAGCUGGGUGUAAUGUGGCGGAAAUUGCAAUAUUGAUAAGCUGGGUGUAAUGUUGCGGAUACUGCUGUUUUCACGUGUGCUUUCUGGAAUGAGUUUGGGAGGCUUUUUGCAACCUCAAUUUUCACCAUGGGAUAGUAUGAGCAUGCAGCUCCUCCGUGUGACUGCAAAUUAGAUUCCAAUCAGACUUCAACGUCUUAAGGUUAUAUGUAUGAUCCAAAUUAUUUGCAUCUACAUUCUAGGCAAUGUGGUUGCAAUUUUAUUCCUAUUUUGCAGAAAGUCCUUUCUUAUCUCUUAGGUAGGUACUUUUUGAUGUUGGUCUUGCAAGUUGGUGUAAAGUGUACAAUGGUAGUAAUUACCAGUUGAAAGUUGGAACAAGUGAGAUAUGAGAUGUCAGGUAAGUCAAAAAUUUGUGGUGGAAUUUUUGGAUGUGGUGUAGUCUUUUGUCUUGGAAGUUCACAGGGAAUUCAUUUAGGGUAA